rnacentral:rRNA from 1 species
UACGUAGGGGCAAGCGUUGUCCGGAAUUAUUGGGCGUAAAGCGCGCGCAGGCGGUCCUUUAAGUCUGAUGUGAAAGCCCACGGCUUAACCGUGGAGGGUCAUUGGAAACUGAGGGACUUGAGUACAGAAGAGGAGAGUGGAAUUCCACGAGUAGCGGUGAAAUGCGUAGAGAUGUGGAGGAACACCAGUGGCGAAGGCGACUCUCUGGUCUGUAACUGACGCUGAGGUGCGAAAGCGUGGGUAGCAAACAGGAUUAGAUACCCGCGUA